rnacentral:lncRNA from 1 species
AUUUAUAUGAAACUUAAAUUUUUAAAAUAUAAAUUUGAAUAUAAUAUUAAAUUUUAAAUUUAAAAGUGAAAUUUAAAUUAAAGGAAUUUCAUAUAAUAUUUAAAGUUUAAAUUCAAUGAUCAUAUUGUCAAAUCAUUUGAAAUUUUUUCUAUAUGAAAUGCCAAAUUAUGAAAGAAAAGAUAGAGAGAGAAAAAGAAAAUAAAGAAAAAAUAAAAAUUUUGAAAAUAUAGUAGAUGUAAAAUGACUAAAUUGCUUAUGUAUUAAAAGGAAAAAAUAUCCUUUUUUGAGGUACCUGGUAACCGGUACCUCUCCCAAAAUGACCUGUUAUUGCAGAUCACAAUUUUAAAAAAAACUAAAUCUGAGCCGUUGAAUACGCGUGAAUGAACGGCAACCAAAAAAAAUAUAUAUAGAAGCAUUACUCAUAGAAUUAACUCUCUUAAUUAUGAUUGCCUAAUCUUCAUAGAUGUUAAUUUUGGAAAUGAACUUAGUUUGAAAAGCAAUAUUGCCACCAAUCAAAAUGGACUUAGCUUGAAAUGUGAAGCAAGUAGGCUUCAAUUUUAAGAUCUAGUGUAUAUCAACUAUAAACUCUUUGCCACUUGCAAUAGAGAUGGUUAGUAAGAGGUGACGUGGCUGAUGAUAUAUUAAUUGAAUCUAGUCAAUAAUAAACUUUAAAGACUUGCUUUAAUAUAUCUGAUCAGUCAGCGAACUUUGGAAAACGAGUCAAACCAAAGGUGGUGCAUUAGAGAUAAAAGAGCUACGAACAAUCAUCAUCACUUUGUAGGUUAUUUGGUUAGAGCUAUUAGCUUAAAUGAGCCAGCAUCCUGUAUUGUAACUGGAGGUCAUGUGGAGCCGAGUUAUAUUCGAAAUGGCGUGAGGCUAGGUAGGCCGAGUCAUGUUCAAAGUAGCAUGAGGCUGGUUGGGUAGAGUCACAAUCGAAACUCGUGGGCAUUGUAUCUAUGUGCUUUAAGUGAAUUGAUUAUAUAUUUAUAACAGUUCGAACUUUUGAGAUUAAUGGUUAGCGUCAACGAUCCGACAAGAGCAGAAUAGAAAAAUUUUGGAGAAACAAAAGCGCAGCAUGUGACAAAUGCUAGCAAAAUUUCAUUCACGCAAGAUUGCUUGGAACACUUCCGAAUCACAGCAGAAGACUUUUUUUUUUGUUGGUUUGGGAGGUCCGACUGCCUCACCUUGUAGCUCAAUUCACCUUCCAAUUAAAUGAAACAUAAGCAUAUAAUAUAUAUAUAUAUAUAUAUAUAUAUAUAUAUAUAUAUAUAUAUAUAUAUAUAUAUAUAUAUAUAAAAAGCCUGGUGCUCACGACAUAGGUGUUAAUCGAUUAAUGGGUAAACAUCAAAUAUAUAUAUCCCUGUGGUUUCUCACUUUCUCACUUUACUACCCAAUAGUUUAAAAUGUAUCAAUUUAGUACUCUAUGAUUUUUUUUCUCUUUUCGUCAACUCCUUAGUUAACAUUUCGUUAAAUCAUAUACAAAAAAUUCAAAUAACUCACCGAGGUUUAUCAAAUAUUCACUUUAGUACCCUUUAGUUUUAACUUUGUCAUUGAUUCAAUAAAAAAAUUUAAUAGAGGAGAUAAUAAAAAAAAUAAAAUAAAAUUACAAAGUACUAUAUUGUUAUACUUUAAAUCACAAAAUAUUAAAGUGAGAAAGUACGAAACCACGGAAGUGGUACCACAUAAGUGGUAUUUGAAAUUAAUCCUUGGUUAAUUGAUGCUUCACUACAACACAAGAGCUUGGAGGCCCAAGCUCAUAUAAUGCAAGAGAGUGGUUGUGGGCUUGUCUCCCCACCCACUUCCAUUACUAUUUAUGUUACUUUUGCUGCUGUUUCUUUUUUAAUUCCUUUUUUUUUUGGUUUAGUCCAGUCCGCAUGCACAGCUAACUUUCAUUUCAGCAACCACUUAUUAAGCACUCAUUUAAAUAAAGAAAGGAAAUUAAAAAAAAAGGGUUAUAUAGGACGCCUUUUGUUAGGAAACCUUUUCAAAAACCUGCAUAUAAUAUAUUAUUAUUAUUAUAUUAUUAUUAUAAUUAUGCAUGAUUCCACAUGGGACACCUAACUUAUGUUUCAGGGCUUUCCACACAGCCUGUGUGGGACACAGUUGCUAUUGCCAAAUCAGUUUGAUAGAAAUCGAAACAACUUACUAUUUAGAGUAGUUUGGUUUAAGAUUUAUAAUAUUUGAUUUUAUAUUAGAAACGACGAGUAUGUUACUAUCUUACCAAUUCACUUGGGUAAGAGAUUGUUAAAAACUAAUAUUUUUAUUAAUGUAGUACUAUAAUUAUCAUAAUGAGAAUAUUUCUUAGCCCAUGAUAAUCUAAAAUUUCUGCCAUCUAACAGUCUAGAACGAUUCCACUACUUCACUAACGGCCUUUCAUAAGUAUCCAAUUUAAGCUAACGAUAAAUUUAAAUAUUUUCAAUAGACAAUAUGAAUAGUUAUCGAAAUAUUAUGAACUACGAGGCAAACAGACCCUCAACAUUAAUAUACCUCGUCACAUGCACGAAACAUAGAUGAUCAUACAUAUCAAUUAUGAUACAAAAUAUGAUAGAACAACUAAACGAAAAAAAAAAAAGAAAAAAAAAAAGAAACUUUAACCUAUUAAAUGAUAGAUGGCAAAAAUCAAACAUGUACAUGGUCUCUUACAAUUGGGGGUUCAAAAUCCGUAUUAUUGUUUGCUAUUUAUUAUUGUCUAAAAUAGGCCUAAUUUUUUGUCGUGUAACAAUUGAUUCACGAGACUACUAAGUUGAUUUCGAGAAGCCCAACAAGCGGAGCUGCAAUUCACAAUAGGCUUAGCGGCAAGGGGCCGAACAAUAAACCUAAUGUCUAGAGAAAUUGACUCAAAUCGAAGCAUAUGAGCAUUAUGGUUAAGCUCUUAAGUGCGGUGGGCAUGCGUCUUUUCUAUCAGCAUGUGUUUUUGGAUAGUUGAUUAGCAUUUACGAUCCACAAGUAAUAUCAGAGCUAGUAGCGUGAGUUCGAUUUUUACAUAUUGUAUUAACAAUACGAGAGUAGGGAGAAUUUUUGUAAUUACUGUGACUAAGCUCUUAUGCACGAUAGAUAUAUGUGCCCUUUAUAUCCAUACGUACUUUUGGGAUAGUUAGUUAGUGCAUCCACAAUUACUAUCAUCUCCACUACCAACCUGACCUAAAUCCAAUGAGAAUCUCUAGAUUUUGAUCCUAAAUCUCGAACCAAUAGCUUAAUCUGUAAAAUUCAAAUCCAAAUCUUGCCAAUUGACACUAGAGAAGUUAGUCAGCCUUGUUAGACUCAUUAAAUAAUUUAAAACAAUCACUUAUCUUCAAAUGCUUUAUAUCAUAUUAUUUAAGAUGAUUUUAGAGUAGAAGAUUCUGCUCCCUAGCGCAAGUGGUAAAGAGUCUUGGUGUUUGGUACCCGAGGUCUCAACUUCGAAUCCUAGUUGAUUCACAUUUUUAGUAAGUUUAUUUCUAAAAAAAUAAACGAAUGCCAUUAUUAUUAAUUUUUCCUAUUUAAUCUACAUUCACAUUUUAGACCGAUCAAAAUAUCUCAAAUUCAGAUGUAAGAAGAGUGUUGAAUAUAUAAUAUUAAAUUAAAGACCGUUCUUCAAUAGUUUAAGCAUUUAAAGAAUAUAAAUACAUACAUAUAUUAAGAAGAGUGUUGAAUAUAUAAUAUUAAAUCAAAGAACCGUUCUUCAAUAGUUUAAGCUUUUAAAGAAUAUAUAUACAUACAUAUACGAACUUGGAGUUGUUCUCCUCUCUCCCAUUCUAACUAUGAGAAAUUAUUGCAUGCACCAUUUUUAUAAAUAUAUUAUAUGAACUGAUUUAUUUUUUUAAUAACAAAUAUAGUAUAAUUAAGGCAUGAAUUAAUGGUAGCUAGCCACAUCUCCAAUAAAAAUUUUUGAUGCACCCAUUGCAUCAUAAACCAACUCUAAAAUAUGUAUCAAAUAUGAAUUUCUAUAUUACAAUAAAUUAUUUAAGUAUUUUAUAUUACAUAUAUUAUAUUAUAUUAUAGUUUAUAUUAUUAAUUAUUAAAUAUUUUAUUAAUCAUCUAAUAUUAUGAACGAUUUUUGCAGCAUUAGUAUUCACCAGACGCAAGCAAAGAUUCUUCAUCUCUGUUAGAAUUAUGUGUGUACCGUAUUAAAUAUUCUCUGCAUCAGGUGUAUAUGUGUACAUACAUCGCAUGCUUAAAACCUUUCAAUAGAGAUUUUAAAGGUAAUUCAUCAAACAUUAGACUUUGUAGAUCAGAUAUACUUAAUUAAAUUUUGAUGUCAAAAUAUUAGUCAUCUAAUAAAAGUUGGCAGCGCAUGGAAUAUUGAUAUACACCAAACGCAUGUAAUCGUUUCUUCUUUCUCCAAUCAAUUUUAAUAAAGUAAAGACACCCUCACAUGUUCUUCAAUUUGAAAUAAGUUCUCCAACUAUAACUUUUUAAUUAAAAAAUUUAUUUACAGAUUAUCUAUCAAAACUAUUAAGUUUGAUUAAAUAUUAAUAAUAAAGAUUAUUCUUAAAAAUGUACAUAAGACUACAUAAUAGAUUUUUUUAUAUUUCUUAAGUUACAAUAUUUUCAAUCUUAAAAUUUAAAUAAUUAUUUAUUUUAAUUAAUUGAAAUAUUAUCUAUCCACCACGAAGUGUUGCUCUAUAUACUAGUAACAAUUAUUAUUAUUUUACAUUAUUACGAGACAAGGCAAAUCUUUUAACAAAGCUACUCAUUGUGAUUGGAAGAAGCCAUAGGGUAACACUCGAGAGUUAAUUCAUGGAUUUCCACGUGAUCUCAUGUGGCUUAUAAUUAAUUAAAACACAUGUCUAUAUAUGAUAAUGAGUGGGGGGCAUGCACUGAAUUUGUAAAAUAAAUACAUGUUGAUCUCCUCCUCUUUUUUUUUUUUUUGGUUGAUUGAUCCAAUGACAAAUAUAUAUAUUUUUUUUUUCAUUCGUAUAACUCAAGAAAAAGUCCAUAACUUUAUAGGAUUUAUUAACUCAAGCCUAGCUAUCAACAAUAAAUUAGAUGCAAUGAGAUUAUUGGUUAUUUUAUGAUGUAGAUUUUCCAUCGUACAUUUGAUCUGAAGUUAUGAGAAGAGUAUAAUACAAGCUAGCUACCAAUCACCUACUAGCUAGAAUUUAUACAUUUCUGAGUUGUUUAUUUUCUUUUGGAUUCUCCAGGGUUUUGGGAUGGAGAUUAGAUAUUGCCAAAAUAAUAUUUGCCAUUAUCAAAGUGUAUAAUUUGUAUCUAAUUAUAUUUUUAACUUUUUUGCUCUGAUAAUAGUAGAUAUUACGCUGGCAAUAUCAGUUCUUUUUUUGAAUGCCGCUAUUAAUAUGAAACAAUUAUUGUUCUCCAAAUGUUUGAGCUGUUUAUAUAACAAUAUUUUCCAAUGAAAUAAUUUUGUUCAUUAACAGCUUAAGCUGUUAUAAAAUAAUAUUUUUUGAUUAAUUUAUAUUCAGCACUUCCAAUUACGUCCGAACUAGACACAUUUUUAUAGUUCUAAGGUAUAGACUUGAAUUAAAUGCCAGAAAAUUAAUAAUACUAUGAGUCUUGCAAGACUCAAAUUUAAAACUGCCGCUCUAAAUAUCAUAUUAAAUUAUAUAAAAUAAUUAUUGUUCUCGAAAAACUAGAAUAUUGUUUUUAAUUUAUAUAUUCAAUGGUCACAACUCUAGAUUAUCCAAGUUCAUAUUACAAAAUUGCGUGCGAAUAAACACAGCAAAAAAGAAAAUCAAACAAAGAUAAUUUUAAAAAAUUUGAGAUCUAAUCUCAAAAUACCAUGCAAACAUGAUCCCUCAUAUUGUUUAAUAUUAAAAGAAGAAAAGGAAGAUCUAAUCUUCACCUUUACGCGAGUAGAUCUUCACCGCAAUCUAAUGAUUGUGGAAUUGGAUCUCUUGAAACCACACAAGCGUCUGUCUCUACAGGUAUUCACAUGAGAUUACUGAUCUGAUCGAUAUCCUCAUCGGGGUGCUAGCUCUUUUGCAAAGAACGUCUUUUUUUCUAGAGGAUUAAAGAAAAAAAGAGAUACGAGAAAAGAGAUGACGGUUAGGAUUUUCUAAAAACUCCUUUAUCUUAUAAAGAGGGAUAUAACUUCUUUUAUAAUAAUAUAAUUACUAUUAAGGAUAAGAAUUUAUUUUUAUCCUUUUCUUAAUUAGUUUAAUUAAUUAAAUACUAAUUUAAAUCAACUUGAACUCAAUCCUAAUUUGAUCAAAUCAAAUUAAUAAUACAAUAUUUGCACAUAAGUNUUUCUAAAAACUCCUUUAUCUUAUAAAGAGGGAUAUAACUUCUUUUAUAAUAAUAUAAUUACUAUUAAGGAUAAGAAUUUAUUUUUAUCCUUUUCUUAAUUAGUUUAAUUAAUUAAAUACUAAUUUAAAUCAACUUGAACUCAAUCCUAAUUUGAUCAAAUCAAAUUAAUAAUACAAUAUUUGCACAUAAGUUCUCUCACAACUUACUAACUGUUAGUAAGUUCUCUCUUGCAAUAUUUGCACUUUAAUAUCAUUAAUUUGUAACAAUUAUAUAUUAAUCCAGCUAUCAACAUAUUGAUAAUUAUGUCCUCCGACGACUCAAAAAUCGCGAUCCAACUAUUUGAUAAGUCGCAGUCUCUUAUGUGAGUGACCCAUAGGUUCUAUUCUAUCUAGUUUUGAUCACCAUCACUAAUAUCAUUAAAACUCUUUUUAGUGGGUCGGAACAAUUCCAACUCAGCCCAUGAGAAUUAUCGAUCAUGCAGAUAAUUUUCAUAAGUCUCACAAUGUCAUGCCUCGUGACCCGGCAAUUUGGUCGGAUCCGGGCACGUCAAUCAGACGCCAAACGGAGAGCACCUCCUCUAUUCGCCCAAGGCUAAACAACAGCAAUCAUGUACAAGAGUUGCCCAGAAAAACUCAUUAAACAUACAUGAUCAGUACGAAGCACCACAAAUGCUAACAAGUAAGGACAAGAACCACAAGUACACAUACAAGUGAAUAAAGAGAGAUAAUUCUAGCUAUUACAAGCAUUCAACCGUUAAUCCACACUGAUUACAUUUACAUCUCCCAAAAUGUAAUACAAGUUCAUCUCCAAAAUACAUAAGUAACUCUCCGACAUCUCACCAAAAUAUACAUCAUCAUCUAUGUACACGAGGGUACUCUAAAUGCAAGUAGGGAAAGCUACUAACUAAAUUAGGGCGCUAUGCCCUUACUUGUUAGCACUUGUGGUGCUUCGUACUGAUCAUGUAUAUUUAAUAAGUUUUCCUGGGCAACUCUUGUACAUGAUUGCUGUUGUUUAGCCUUGGGCGGACAGGGAAAGUGCUGUCCGUUCGGCAUCUGAUCGACGUACCCAAAUCCGACCAAAUUGGCAGGUCGCAGGGCGUGACACACAAUCCACCAAUGAUGCCUAACAGUAUGUAGUGGGAUUAUAAUAGAAUGGAAUACUGAAUCUCUUUGUGUAGUUAUCGUGUGAUACAAUUUUGUUAUCAUGAGUCCCGACUAGACGGAGGUCUAUGGAAUAGCUUGUCAAACCCCAUCGUCUGUCAUAUGUCAAAUUUAUUCAACUCGAAUUUUUAAUAUCGGCAAAUUUUUUCGCUAUUAACUCUGCCCUAACCAAGAUUUUCUAAAGUCGGUCUUAUAAAUUAGAUAGAGCUAAUGUUCAUAUCUACCAAGGGAGAUAAAUUUCAUAAAGUGCACACCUCAUUCGUACAAUGAACUUAUUGCAGCCAAUAUGUACCACAAGAACCCGAAUGAUUAGAGACUAAAUAUAUGUACAGUCAAACUAUAAUAACCUCAUUGUAAAUAGCUGAGGUACCGUAAGUCAAAAGAUCAGUCACACUACUGUAAUAUUAAGUCACUGACGAGUGAGUAGACAUUCAAGUGACUUCUCGCUUUGGUCACGCUCAGUAUUCUUGUUCUCUAACAAUCAUCUGCAUAUUCGCUCUAGUGUCCCGACACUGUUGACUCGAGACUCGUCUAUCUAAAAAGGAAAAUGACUUAUGCACCAAUCUCACCGGAUCAAUUACCGUCCUCGUGAUAAUUCAUCGAUCGGGAAUAUUUAGAAAUUAACUAUCAAUAACACAUAUCUCAAAUUCUCAACUCUUUAGAAUACGUGUCAUCAUCUUAUUAAUUUCUUGAACGAUUCAUGAACACAUACACAACAUAAAUAAAAAUAAGAAUCCAAAUUUAUUUAUAAUAUUUUAAAUCAAAUAUAAAUUUAUCUCUUAAAAAGAAUAAAUAUAUAGGCCUAGUUGGCUUUUAGGGCAUGUAUCUAACAGUUAAAGCAUUUAUUCUUUGUUAGAGGGGGCUUAGAAAUUCAACCUAAGAUUUAAGAGGUAGGAGUGCAUUUAUUGUUUUGGUUAGGAGUAGAUCGAAAUAUAAAUAUAUAUAUUAUUGCUUUGAUAUUUGACACAGUAAUAUGGAUGAUAUUCAAAUAUAUUAACUCCUUCAAUGAGCAUCAUAUGGAGAAUAUUAAAAUAAAUUAAUUCAUUACAGGGAUGUCAGCUGAAUCAACAUCUCCAAGAUGUAUUAAAAGUAGGAUUUUACGGUGAUCUAACAACAAUUUCUGAUUUCGUAGCAUUUUACGGUGAGUUAUAAUUUAAUUCUACUGUAAAAUUACUUAGAUUGUUUAAAUCACAACAGAAUUUUGUGCUUUAUUUCUAGGCUAAAAUACAUAAAACUUUCUUGUCAAAAACCGAUUUUUUACUUUCCCCCUCUGUCAUUUAAAAACUUACACUUCACCUCCUUGUAAAAUAAAAAACAUUCACUUCACCCCCUACUAUUACUAAUCCGUUAGGCUUCUGUUUAUAAAAUAUUAUUAUAUAUUUUUUUAUGCCAAAAAUGCCCUCAGUCUUUUUUUCUGUGAAUAUGAUGAGGGGCAAAAUGGUGAGGGACAAAAUAGUCAUUUUAUCAUCACAAUUCACACCGUACCUCCUGUGAACAUUUUUCGUUUUAUAAGGGGCAAAGUGUAGAUUUUUAAAUGAUAGGAGGUAAAAUAAAAAAUCUGAUUUUGACAGAAAAAUUUUCUGUAAUUUAGCCUUAUUUCUAUCAAAAAGAUACUUGAAUAUUAAUACACAUCCAAAUUUCAUUAUCUGUCCUAUAUUGAAUUUUGUUUUCCUUUUUUGUUUUGUGGAAAAUGUUUAUAGAAAAUAUUUGGUUAUGCGAAUCCAAACUCAUUCCACGACAAUAUUAGUACAUGCUAGUACCUACUUCAAAUAGAUGCUGCUUGUAGCACUAUAUAUAUCCAUAUCUAUCGAAGCAUUUGGUAUAACAGAAUGUCUUUUUGAGCUUCUAUUGUAAUUAGAAUCUAAAAUAAAAUUCUAAACUUCAAAAGCAGUAAUUCUAAUCCCUAAUACUUUUAAUUCUACUUGCGAGAAAACUCUUUUUUGGCAAAAAAAAAAAAAAAAAAAAAAAAAAAAAAACACUAUAGUAUAGUCCUUCUAAUAGCAUUACCAUUCAAAAAGUUCUUCAUCGCGAAACACUAAACUCUACGGCAUGGCUAUAUAUACAAGCAUUUGGAAUAUUUCUAUUCAUUAGUCCAUAGAUGACCUGGAACACUAAAUUCAUCGAAUACUUCUAAUAACUAGCAGAAUGUUUACCGAUCCUUGUGGAGCAAAUGGUAAAGGACUUAGUAGUUGGUACCCGAAAUCUCAAGUUUGAAUCAUAGUUGAUUCACAUUAAUUUUCAGCUAAGUUUAUUUCUAAAUGAAAUAAAUAAAGCGGAUAGCGUGCUAUCUAUAUCUCUCAAUAAAAAUAAAAUAAAAAAAAAAAGCUAAAUGUUUAGUCCCUGAGUGUUACUCACUGUUGUUAUCCAACACCACCCACACACCCUCAUCAUCCCCAGGGAUCUAAUGAUAUCUAGCACGCUUAUCCAAGUACAAGAGCUACAGCAUGCCCUGCACUCAUUUGUGCGCAAGCAAAAGCUGUACCAAUUCUUCUUUCUUUGGGUAAACUGCAUGAGUAGUCCCUCUACCAUCACUAUGAUGCACCUUGGUCUUUAUCCUUUUCAGUUGAAUACUUCUGUGUUCUUUAAACUUUCGUGUAGAUCAUUUGAUCGUGCUUAAGAAUGUGUUUACGAACAAGUUAUCAUGUAGUUGCUUAAUAUGCUAUAGACUUUCAAGCCGUUUUUUUCUCGUAAUAAGGUAAAUCAAUUCACAAGUGAAAUACAUUUUUCGUGAAAUAUGUUAUUGAAAAAAAUCAUCAAUGUUGGAAUCUUACAACGAGUUAAGAGGAAAAUUAGUAGCUACAAUGAUAUUAAAAAAAAAAUCAUAAUGCCUAAGUUGUCACCAAAUAACUUGUUCGAGCAUCAAAUCAGGCCCUAUGAAAAAUUUCUUUAUGUCACCAACGACUUUGCAUUUAAACCAUCGGCUUUAAGAUAUUGACAAUUACCAUUUGUAAGCAAAUUACAUUGCACCUCUGAAAUAAUUUAACUUUUACAAGGAAAAUCACUUACUAUGUGAUUGUAGACAUAUAUUUCAUACAAUUCUCAACUUGUCCCUAGCGUAAAUGGCAAAGGACUUGAUGGUUGGUAUCCGAGAUCCCAAGUUCGAAUCCUGGUUGAUUCACAUUUCCGGCUAAGUUUAUUUUUGAAUGAAAUAAGCGAAGCGGGUAGCAUGAUGCCUAUCUCUCAAAAAAAAAAAAAAAAAAAAAAAAAAAAAAAAAGUCCUUCCCAACUUUAAUAAGUCCAUGAACUAAGUCACAAACAUUCCAGUCUUCAAUUUCUCUCCUUUCUUUUUGAAGGCUGACCACCUUUACUCCUCUAGCCUUUCAAAGAAGACUCAGCACUGUUCAACUGCAGAGACAGAUAUAAUAAAGUCUCUCCAUUAUCACCUCUGUAUACCUCCUCUUUAUCUUCUCUCUCCCUCAUCCUCUUGGCCCACACAAAGAUUCCUUAUGCUCCUUCUCCACCAUGUAGCCUUUUCCUCUCUCUCUCUCUCUCUCUCUCUCUCUCUCUCUCUAGGUACCAGCUUUAGUUGGAUAUAUCAUAUAUAGGAGUAGGACCACCACCACCCUCUCUAGCCCACUUCUCCCUGUUCACCUUUUUCAUUCAGAUGGCUACCACUCUUCUAAUUUAGUUGCUGUGGCUCCUCUCUUUCUCUCUCUCUCUCUCUCCUAACAUGUAAUAAAGGUAUAUAUGCUCUUCUGGGUCACCAUCUUUUAAGCUUUAAUACCAUCCUCAGAUGCCAUGUGCUCUGAUGAAUCUUCUUUUGCUGAGCCUUGUCCUCUAACUGUAGGCUUUCAUUUUCAUUUUUUUUUUCUUUACCAAUAUUUUCAUUUUUUAUAAAAAAAUAAAAUUAAAUUAAAAAUAGCUGUUAAUUUGAUGCUUUAUUGCUUUUAUAUGCUCAAAUGGGUAACUCCGAUAUGCAAUGCCAUGCGUUUUAAUAUACUCUAUAAAUACUUGAUAUUCAGCUGUAAUUCUUUAUGGUCGAGCCUCUCCAAUGGCGCAGCAGUCCUGCUUCUUCCCCCUGCGGUGGGAGAGCACGGGGGACCAGUGGUGGUACGCGUCGCCGAUCGACUGGGCGGCGGCGAACGGCCACUACGAGCUGGUGCGCGAGCUCAUCCUCCUCGACGCCAACCUCCUCAUCAAGCUCACCUCGCUCCGCCGCAUCCGCCGCCUCGAGACCGUCUGGGACGACGACGACGGCGGCGCGCGCUUCGCCGGCGUCGCCAAAUGCCGCGCGGCCGUCGCGCGCAGCCUCUUCCACGAAUGCGAGGGCAAGAGCCAGAAGAAUUCCCUGAUCAGGGCAGGCUACGGCGGGUGGCUCCUCUACACCGCGGCUUCGGCCGGGGACGUCGGGUUCGCCCGCCGGCUGCUCGACAAAAAUCCCCUGCUGGUUUUCGGGGAAGGGGAGUACGGCAUUACCGAUAUAUUCUACGCGGCCGCGAGGGGGAAGAAUUCCGAACUUUUCAGGCUCCUGCUCGAAUUCGCCGUCUCGCCGCGGUGCUCGACGGCGGACGACGGAUCGGGCGGCAGCGCCGGUGAUUCGGAUUUCAGGCGGGAGGUGGUGAACAGGGCAGCGCACGCGGCGGCUAGAGGGGGAAGUCUGGAGGUGCUGAGAGAGCUACUUGAGAAAUGUCCGGACGUCUUGGAGUUCAGGGAUGUUCAGGGAUGUACCGUCUUGCAUGCCGCCUCCGGCUGCGGCCAGACUGAGGUGAGAUGGCAUAUUACGAUUGUUGUUUUUCAUGAUACAGAAGCAUCGCCUCUGAACUCACAAUAGACAUGGUGAAUUUUAGAUGUCUUAGUUUCUUAUUAAAGUACAUAAUUUGUGUGAAAUAUGACUUCUUAUUAGAUGCAAUGUGUUCUCUGCCAACUUAAACUUUUAGAGAAUAAUUUUUAUUUCACAUUAUUUAACAUAGUAUCAGAACAUAAAGUUCUGAAUUCGAGUCACGCUAGACUGCUAGCAAUAUUAAUUUCUUCCUAUUUAAUUCAAGUCCACAUCACGGACCUAGCGAAAGAUCACCGUUCUCUACCCACUUAAACUUUUAGAGAAUAACGGUUGUUUCGUAUUAUUUAACACACGGUCGCUUUGUUCCUUCUAAACUCUCAUGAUCUACUAGUUCUACUGAAUCUAAAGGAACUAGCAAGUUGGUUUACUUUUAGGUCUCAUUAUAUUGAUCACUUGUUCUUGACCUUUUAAAUGACCAAAUCAUAAUUAAAUGUCAUGUAGAAGGAGCAUAAAAAGCUCCAGGAUUCAGAUUUACAGAUCGGAUAUUUGAUGGUAGUAAUUACUUGGAAGUCCGAUAUUAUAAUACAACUCUAUUUAAAGAACAUGUGCGGCCACCUUCAUGCUCAGUAACUGCAUAGAGAUAUACAGGAUCGAACAUACAAUGUCCUAUAACUAUUGUUUCCGAUUCAAACAUACUGUGCAGGUUGUCAAGUAUCUAGUGGCUUCUUUUGACAUGAUAAACGCUAGAGACAAUCAGGGCAACACAGCGCUACAUGUAGCAUCCUUUCGCGGACACUUAUCAGUUGUCGAGGCCUUAAUUGCGGCGUCUCCCUCAUUGUUACUGUUGAAAAAUGAUGCCGGGGAUACUUUUCUUCAUAUGGCAGCGGCCGGCUUUAGAACCCCUGGGUUUCGGAGGCUCGACCGCCAAAUGGAACUCAUGAAGCAACUCAUCUGUGGAAAAUUUAUCGAUUUAAACGAAAUUAUCAAUAUCAAGAAUCACGAGGGGAGGACCAUCUUUCACGUGGCUGUGAUUGAUAAUUUACACCCGAACCUCGUCGAACUCUUAAUGAGCAUCCGAUCGAUUGACCUCAAUGUUCGCGAUAAUGAUGGAAUGACCCCAUUAGAUCUGCUUAGACAACACCCUCGGUCGGCAUCAUCUGAGAUACUGAUCAAGCAGUUGAUCUCUGCGGGCGGAAUCUCAAAUUUCAGGAACCAAAUUGCGAAAUCGGCCAUCGCUUCGCAACUAAGGAUGCAAGGAAGUGGGAACAGUCCUGGUACUUCUUUUAAGAUUUCAGAUGCAGAGAUUAUUUUCUACACGGGUAUAGUCGAGAAAAUGGAAACAAGUGGAAGGCCUAGUUCGUGCUCAAGUACUACUAACAAGAGUGAACUUGCCCAUCUUAGCACAAAUGGCGAAGGACAUAAGAUUUUGGAAAAAGGUGAGAAUUCGGUAAAUAAAGCAGCGAAUCGACUGAAGAUUCUGCUAAGGUGGCCUCAUCGAAAGGAAACGAAAAUUGGGGCGCCAAAAAAACCGGGAGAUAAUGACUCGUUGGAUUCAUUGAAGAGAUUUAGCCAAAGUGUGGAUAAUAACACCCCUACUCCCUUACGACAGCGUUUCUCGAAGCCAACUUCACUUCUCAACAAUAAAAGAACUCUCGCAGUUCGAAAUUCAAUGCUAAGUAGUCCGUCCACGAAAAAGAAGUACACUGCGGGACUAAUGCACGGUGUGAUUCAAGCCAUGCCCCAUCUGGCUAACACUCCGCGAGCAUCAUCUAACUCUUUCUCGAGGGCGUCGAUGUCUUCUCCACCCUCAGUUAAGAGUAAAGGCAUUUGCUUGGAUAGUGAAACAACUGGCGACGUCGCCUCUUGUUCGAAUUCGGCAGUAAAUAGUAAUAACAUGAUGGAUAACUCAAUGAAUAAAUCUGGUUUUACGAAUAGCGGAGUCAAGAAACACUACUUAUGUUUUGGGUCACGAGGAUUAGCCGUCGAGGAGGGUUCAUCUACUGGGCAACGAAUCAUUCAGACGUUCAAGCGGUCGCUUCUCUCAGUGGCCUAAUACACCAACUUGUGAAGGAACCAGACAUUGAAUUAUCGUGCGUAGUUAACAUGGUCAAUAGUCUACUUAGGUAGACCUUAUCUGGGUAUGUCAUUAUUAGCGUCGUAUGUUAAUUUUCCGAGUGUUUGUUGGAGGUUUGCGUGUAGGUUGUGUGUAUGAUGUAAAUGUGCUAAUACAAAAAAAAGGUUGCGGAUUCUGUUUCUAGGCUUUUCUAGCUGAUAACUGUUCUUCUGAAAUUCUACCUUGUACUUGGUGUAAUUUGUAUGGAAGAGCAUCUUGUAGUUUGUUAUGUUUGUCACCACAUGUUUUGCAGAUAUAAAAAUUGUAAUAAUAUUGUAAGUUUCCUUCCAAUUGGGGAAGUACUAAGGUGGAAAGGAAAAGCGAAAAUUGGAGCAUUUAGCCAUUUGGCUUCAUGAAACUAACAAUUGUUAAGCAGAAUCUUCGACGAAAUUUGAAAGCCUUCAUAGGGUUUGAAUUGUGAUCUGCAAUCAUACCAGAAAGGCGACAAAAACGGUGAGGGAAACAAACCCUUCAAUCCAAAAUCUGCCAUUUGUGCAUUAGCACAGAAAACAGAAGUGUCCCUUAUGACCGUAGAUUACUUCACUUUGACGUGGGCGCGCAUGCACAAAAGAAGAACAAGGACAUGAAGACGAUGAAAGGAAAACAAAACUCAAUACGCCAGCCAAUACGCCAGCCAAUAAGGUACCUUUCUCUAUUGAUCUUUCUCAUUUAAAAGCUCCACACUCAUUACAAGGGAAAAAAAGGAACCCAAAAAAAAAAAAACUACACCAAAAGUCGCCUUUGACAGUAUCCUAUACAAAUAGACAGAUGGAGACCCCAAUAAAAAAAAAGGAGAGAACUACCUCCAGUUUAACUUCAAGCUCUUUCUCGGAAAGACAUACACAAAACUAUUCCUCCCUGCUCACUUGCUAUCACUAAAAUCCGCAUCGAUCACAUCACCAUUGCCAGUCCCCUUGCUUGCGGAACCAGCAUCGGCCCCAGGGGCGGGACCUGUACCAGCCCCGGGUGUGGCUCCACCGGGCUGGUUGUAGAGGGACUGGCCAAGCUGCAUCACCUCCUGGUUGAGGGCAGCAAUGGCGUCCUUUAUGGCCUGGGUUGAUCCACCCGCGACAACGUCCUUGAGCUCCCUGAGCUUUGCCUCCACCUUCUCCUUCACUGCGGCGGGGACCUUCUCCCCGAGCUCCUUCAAUUGCUUCUCCGUCUGGUAGAUCAGAGACUCCGCCUGGUUCUUGGUGUCGAUGGCCUCUCGCUUCUCCUUGUCCUCCUUGGCGUACUUCUCCGCUUCCUUCACCAUUCUCUCCACCUGGACAUUAUUCCCAAAUUAGAUUACAUGUUAUUGUUAUUUAACAGUGCAAGAAAAGGAUGCAGACAAUAAAAUAAAUUCACUGUUAGUGAUCCUGCUAAGUGAAUGAAUCUAUUGAAUACCAGUGUAAAUAGGGGGGACAAAUGUGUGUGUGUGUGUGUGUGUGUGUGUGUGUGUGUGUGUGUGUAUUGGAUAAAUAACUAGCUACUUCAAUAAUCCAAGAAAACUAUAAAAGCAUGGGAACUAGAAUACUUUCUAAAACUACUUGCUACAGCACAAGCAGAAAAGAAAAAAAGAAAGAGAACUAGGACUACAUUUAAAAUCUAAACAAAUUUAAAGCAGUAACCAACCAACAACCCAAAAUGGUAUUCCCCGAUGGUUUGGACUACAAUCGCAAGAUAAAGGACAACCGUCUUCCUAAUAGCAUACCGUGCACAUAAUACAGCCUAACGGAAAAUGCUACACAAUUAAAAUUAUUUUCCAAAUUCUCAAACAAAUAUUGGUCCUAGGCACCUCCACACCUACUGAAUUAUAUCUACGAAAGAACGAGGACAUGCUGCAUAACUUAUUUAAAUGAAGAUAGCUUUCAAGUAAUAAUUCGGGUGACAAACCUCAUCACUGGGCAAGGUGCUGGCCCCUGUAAUUGUAAUGUCCUGCUUCUUUCCUGUUCCCUUGUCGAUAGCUGUAACAGAGAGUAUUCCAUUGGCAUCAAUAUCAAAUUUAACUUCAAUCUGAGGGACACCACGUGGGGCAGGAGGAAUGCCAUCAAGUCGGAAGCUUCCGAGUGAUUUGUUGUCCUUCACAAACUCUCUCUCGCCCUGAAGAACAUUGAUCUCGACACUUGUCUGCCCGUCAGCUGCAGUGGAGAAGACCUCCGAUUUGGAAGUGGGCAGUGUCGUAUUCCUCGGGAUAAUCUUCGUCAUCACUCCACCCAAUGUCUCAAGACCAAGAGAUAGUGGAGUGACAUCAAGAAGAACAAUGUCGCUCACCUCGCCACCCAAGACUCCAGCCUGGUAUCAGAAAAUAAACAAUCAGUAAAGACCCACUGAAGAACAGAAAGGUAACAACUGAAUAAAUACAUCCUCGCAGAACAAAAUAACAGUGAGAUCAUCAAUGCAGAUGCUUAAUUAUAAUUAUAGCUAACUUAAUAUCCUGAUUCAGCAGAGAUCCAGUAAGACACUCAUAUUGUUAUGUGGUACAUAAUAUGGAGUCUUGAGCUUCGAAUAGCAUUCCAAAUGCCAAUAUCUUACAGACGGAGAUAGCUUUUUGAUUUUCAUAUUACCGCUGCCACCUCGCUGUCACUCUCUCUUUUUUCUGAAUGAGAGACAGGGUCUAUCAAAAAUAGUAAUUUCCUCAUGCCAUAUUUGCUACGACCAGAACAUGUUAGAAAUUCUAUGUUUUAAGGGAACAAUUAGCUUUGUGCCCCUCCUGUCAUCAAACUUCAAUGAAUGACUCUAUUUGGAAAAGUAGAAUAUACAGCUAUCACUCGAUUAGACAGCUUUCAGUUUGUUUCCAUUUUCUAUCCCAUCUAUCCGCAAACAAAAAGUAUGAGCACAAAUGUUUCAUUAACUAACCUGAACUGCCGCACCAAGAGCGACAACCUCAUCAGGAUUGACAGUAACAUUGGGUUCCUUUCCGGUCAUCUUCCUCACAAGUUCCUGGACUGCUGGCAUGCGAGUUGAUCCACCCACGAGAAUUACCUCAUCUAUAUCCUUGAAUGACAGCUUUGCAUCUUUUAAGGCAUUCUCCACAGGAGUUUUAAGCCUAUUGGAGAUUGAAAAGCCAAUAUAAGACCGAAUUAUCUAAAUAGAAUGUCUGGUUAUGAAACACAUGGAGAUUUAGUUGGCAAAGACAAAUAAAUAACAAAAUAUAACAAUAUAAGUUAUCAAGUUUAAGCAAAAACCAAGCUUCGAUCAGAUAUUUAGGGCCUCUUUAAUUCCCAGACAAGUCAUCAGAGGAUAACUUUAUGCAACACGUAGAUUUUAUUUUUACGUUGAUACUUGAUUUAACCAUAAUCAACAUUUUUCUGAUAACGAGUUCCACCUACAAGGUUCCUUGUUCUAUUCAUGAAAGAAGACUUUAAGAGGCCAUGCGCUAUGCAUUGUAUCCACUUUUUCUUCAAGCACCCCAUGAACCAAUUAUGAAAUGCCCCUUUAGUAAAUAAAAUAGAUAACGAAACAGAUAAGCAGACAAGAUGUUCAUACACCCAAACAAGCCCUUAAGAAAUAUAGUAGUAUAUACACUCAUAUAUGCAAAUGAUUAAUCGAACAUAAACAAAUACAGUUAUAUGCUAAUACCAACCAAGAACUAAACCAAUAUUAGGAGCACAGCAUUUUUUGUGCUUCUAACUUCGUAACCAUCCAUUAAUUUUGAUAGGUGGUUAGGAUCAGAGAGAGGAGAAAUUAGAGAGAAAUUCAAAGAAGAAAAAUUGGGAAACCCAAUUUCUCCCCAAUUUCUCCUCUCUCACCCUAACUACCCAUCAAAACUGAUGGAUGGUUAGGAAGCUAGGAGCACAAGGGCUGCUGUGCUCCUAAUGGCACAUUAACCCUACUAUAUGGUUAGGAAGCUAGGAGCACAAGAGCUGCUGUGCUCCUAAUGGCACAUUAACCCUACUAUAUAUAUAUAUAGUUGAGCUAGAAUACUAUCGAUAGCAAAUCGGCUCUUUUGCCACCCAUUUGUUUUCGAUGAUGAAGCCUCCAAAUUGAUGAUCGGCACCGUUGAACUAGAAUAGCAUAGUUGAGCUAGAAUACUAUCUAUACCAUUUGAAGUAUUCAGAAAUCAAAUUUCAUACAUUUUCGAUAUUGUUCUCUUAUCCAUCGAGUGGACACAAAAUGAAUGGCUGAAAAUGAAUAUUCUCAAAAAAAUAAUGAUAGGAGCCUUGUAAUCAAGAUCAAAAAUAUAGAUCUUGUUUUAAAUAGUUUAAAGAAUUUUCUAACAAAAAUUCAAUUGAUUUGGAUAUCUUUACACCGUUAAAGGAGAAAACACCUCAUAUCGAUCAUUAAAAUUACAAAUUUUGAAACCCUUUGAUCAUUAAGCAAAUGAUGUCGAAAAGAUUUGAAAUUUGAUUUCUAAACACUUCAAGUGAUAUAGAUCAUGUUCAACGGUGCCGAUCGUCGAUUUGGAGGCUCCAUCAUCGAAAACAAAUGGGUGGCAAAAGAGCUCGUUUGCUAUUGAUAGUAUUCUAGCUCAACUAUAUAUAUAUAUAUAUAUAUAUAUNAUAUAUAUAUAAAAUUAAACAAGCUUAUACUACUUUUUUUUUUUUGGCAUACAAUGGUGUAACCAAAGAUUAGUGCACACCUGUCAAAAAGGUCUGAGCAUAAUUCUUCAAACUUAGCCCUAGUGAGAGUUGUUUCAAUAUGUUUGGGACCAUCAGCCGUUGCAGUGAUGAAAGGUAAGCUGCAAAAGACAAAAAAGAAUGGGUAAAAAAAGGGCAAAAGAUAAAAAGUAAACAGAAAAUAUUAAACAAAUUUACACCAAUGGAGAUCUAGAUACUAACCUGAUAUUUGUCUGAGUCAAAGUUGACAAUUCCAUUUUGGCCUUCUCUGCUGUCUCAGUGAGUCGCUGUAGAGCUUGUUUAUCUUUCAGAAGGUCAAUGCCCUCAUCUCUCUUAAAAUUGGAGGCAAGCCAGUCUACAAUUCUCUGCUCAAGAUUACGAUACAAAAUUGCAAGUUACAUCCUGAAAAGGCAGGCCAUUGACGCUUUGGCUUGUUCAAAGAAUGUCGUACAACAUUGGUUUAACAAUUCUACUACUAAUAUAAUUUAGAAAUCAUGAUAUGUCUGAUGAGUCCAAGGAACAUGAUUACAAAAUAUUGCUGAAGAAAUCGUAAAUGGUAUGCUAUAUCACAAAUGAAAAUAUGAAAGGAGCAGGUGCUUGAAACAAUUCAGAGAAGAUGGUUAACAAAGAACAAUUCAAGACAACAACAACAUUAGACAAUGCCUACCCAAUGUCUUCAGCAAUAAGGACAAUAGGAAAUAUACUCCUAUAAAGAUAUUCAAGGACCAGAAAUAUGAGCAUCAUGCAAGAUUUCACAAGCCAUACAGUUAUAAAACUGAAAUCAGGCCAUCACAAGAAGGGAAGUCUUUCUAAUGAAGCUUAGAAUCAAAAACAUGAUCUAAUAUUACCAACAUUCUAUGUUAAAAGGUUACUCCACUAUAAACAGGUAAAAGGAAUGGGUGACAGGCUCUAUUUUUACAUAUGUUUGUCUUUGAUAGUUUCUCCGAAUUAGGCCAUGUAUGUUAAAAACUUCAAGAAGCUAUUUUCCUGUGUAAACAUAUAUCGCCGUUUAAUCACAGAAAUGAGAAAUGUUCUGAUUAAUAGAAAACAACCAGCCAAUGCAUAGAAUAAUGGUUCAGUAAUAUUGUUCUCUUAAUUUUGUUAAGCACAAGUCAGUGAGCAACAGUAACUUUUGCUCACAUCGGUGCAUGCACUCGUGCAAUGUGAAAAUAGAGGGAAAGACUUGCAAUGGAAAGAACAUUUGCAUGAGGUAUACAUAUGAUGGAUGCAAAGAGCACCCUGGCAAGUGAUCCACGGAAGAUGCACAGAGCAUCUAUGAAAAAGUAAUUAGUCUAGAAAACCUUUUAAUUUGUAUCUUUGCGAAGAAGAGGCAACCAACCUUGUCAAAGUCAUCACCACCAAGAUGAGUGUCACCCGAUGUAGAAAGCACCUCAAACACACCAUCACCAACCUCCAGAACUGCAGCAUCAAUAGAUAUUAUUUUGAUAACUAACUAGACAGCUGAUUACGGAUAAAACAGAAGUCACCUAAACAAUAUAAACUGCACACAUCAGAUAAAGUUUAAUACUAUUCCUAAAAAUGUAUCUACAUAUUUUCCUACCAUGCUCCUAAUAAAAACCAAAUUUUUUACAUUCAUUUAUCUUUAUUUUUCUGAUUUUUCUUUCAUUUGUUAUUUGCUCCUGAUAUUUUGUUUUUCGAAGAAAGAAACAAGUUUUUUUACUUUCUUCUAGUUUUGUCGUAAGAAGCUUACAUUGUAAUAGGUGUAAAAUACUUUUAGACGUAAAUUUUUUUCACUCUCUUUUCUCUUUAAAAGAAAAGAUUUCUUGCUCAACGGAUGAUAUUUUAUUACUGGAUUUGUACUAGAUCCAUAAUUUGUCCAUAAAGUAUUUAAAAGUCAUAGAACUCAGGAACUAACGGAUAUAUAGUUUGAAACUUAUCUCUGUGAAGAUCUCUGCUAGUUAAUAUUUUUCUAUUAUGAGGGUGUAAUAUAUUGAUAACUACACUGUUUCUACAAAAUUUAUUUUAAAAGAAUAUUAUUGAAUUGUUUGCGAAUUAUUAGAAACUAUAGUAGACCAAGAAAGAAAAUGUUUGCUGGAUGGAAAAUGAAGAUAUUAGCAGGGUUUAAUGGAAAAGUAUUGACUGAACUUGAGGAAGCUUGAUAGUUUGCAGGGUUAUCAGAAAAUGAAACAUAAUUAGCUCGAUUAUAAAAUUAAAUCUGGGAGAACAAAAUCUUUUGUCCUUACAUUAUCCUGCAAACAACUCUUACCUUGCAAUAUAAUAACUAUCCUUGUAAUAACCCUUUUCCUUAUUAUAAUAAUCCUUGUUGUACGUCUAGUUCUCCUUAUACUUAUAUGUAAGAGUAUUUUGCAAUAAGAAAGUCUCCUAUUAUAUUGUAAGUCUUCUACUUUUGCAUAUCACUACAAUUUUGUAUCAUACAUAAAUAUUCUCAAGAAAUUAGCUAUCAUCUCAGAAAGCUCAUGCAUAGUACCCCAUCUAAGCUUGGUCUAUAUGCCGUUGAAUGCGUUUGAUUGGACCUAAAGCAAGGGGAAUAUCUAGUACGAAUGCAUAUUGAAAUUAUUGAAAAAGUUUGUGUAUAUGAUAAAGAUUGUGGUCAUUAUAUUCAUGCACCAUCUACUGCAACUAAUAAAAAUAGUACCAAUUUUGUUUAUAUUUAUGAUAUCCUGAAUAUAUUUUCAUUGGGCUAAUAUACCCAAAGAAAGAAAAUACUUAGGUUAUAAAAAAUUAGAGGAAGAAGCUAAUAUGAUCAUAGAAGAAGAUAUAGACAUAGUUAAUAAUGAGAAUCUUGAAGAAUUAAAAGAAUUAUUUGAAAUAAAACAAAACGAUUAUUUACUCCUCUCUCUUCACUUUCUCUCUUCUUACUCUCUCUUCACUUUCUCUCUCAUCCGUCUAUCCUUCCUUUCUCUAUCCUCCUGUUGUCCCUUCUCACUCUCUCUCUUCACUUUCAUUUAUGAAACAACCAAACAUUGUUUAAAAAAAAAAAAAAUUUCACAUGAGUAACAUUUAAUCCUUGAAAUGUUAAGAGGAAAAAUGUUUAACACCAUAGCUUAACUUGUAAUGUCAUGCCAACCUAGCCCCAAAGACUCAACCAAUCAGAUGAUUUGUAAAGCAAGUAUCCUAUAUGAAUUCCCUUGAUAAGGUUUUUAUGAAGGUUCUCUUUCAGAAGUCUCUUUGCUUAAAAUGUCCUCCAUUUCUUCAUUAAAUUAUGUGCAACAAAUGAACAACAAACAUGAAUAGAUAACAUACAACUAGUUUACAAGUCACAGCAAGAGAACCCCAUAGGACAUCUACAACUGAGACCCUUUUAAAUCCAUAUGUUAGUAAAAAACUAACAAUAACUCAAGCCCAUAUGAGCAAAUGCUACAAUUGAAAUUUGCAAGGUUGCAUACCUGAAACAUCAAAGGUACCGCCUCCCAGGUCAAACACUAGAAUCGUCUCAUUGUUCUUCUUUUCAAAUCCAUACGCCAAAGAUGCUGCAGUCGGUUCAUUGAUAAUACGAAGAACUUCCAACCCAGCAAUGCGACCAGCAUCUUUUGUUGCUGUCCUUUGUGAGUCAUUAAAGUACGCAGGAACCGUUACCACUGCUUUAGUCACCUUGUCAUUUAAAAAUUUAGAAGCAUCAUCCACAAGCUUUCUAAGCACCUGCAAUGAUAAACAUACAAAAUAAUUAUAAGUGAAUACAUCUACAUCUACAUGCAUAUACACAAUCACAAAGGAGCAAGUCAAGGAUAUCAACAAGGAAAUAUCAAAUGACAAACCAAAAUCUAGUUAAGCUGACAUGCUUCGAAAUUAUCAUGUCCGAAUUACCAUGAAUGAUCGCAUUUCAAUGGAAUUUGGAUAUUUACGACUAAAUGGCUAGAAAUAACAUGAAGCUAUACGACAAGGAACAAUUUGCUGCUUAAGUUAUUGUAGAAACCGAGUUUUUAUUAAAUAAAAUUUGAAAUGUUGGGGAAUAUCUAAGAAACUUUACAGUUUUCAAUAAAAUAAACCGGUCACUUCCAAAGUCUAGCAGUUCUGUAAGUCAAGGAAGAGAUCAGAGAUCUUACUGCAAUUUUGCACGAUAGAAGCGUGGUUUGGAGGAAUAAACCACAAGAGAGUAACCACUAAGAAAGGAUUUCUCUAAAAAAGAACAACAUUUUAUGUGCCAAUUAUAUGAAUUUUAACCCUCUCUCCCUCUCCUCACCCCAGCCACCACCCAUCUCCCUCCUCAACGGGACCGACGCCUCUCCGACCUCCGAUGGCCCUGCCCAGGCCAGCGGAGCUCCAGCCAAAUGAGUUUUCUCUCUCUCCCUCUCUAACUCUCUCUCGUGCCUCCAUGGUCAACCGCGCUGGCCCCAUCAGCUGCCACCUUGGACCUCCGGCAACCUCCUCCGGCACUAUCGCGCCACCUCAUGGCCCUUCGCGAGACCCGAUCUGGCCAGAGCUCAAGAGUGAAGGAGCUCGGCCAGAUCUUGUAGAUCCGUCUCCGCCACGGCUUCCAGCCACCAUCUCAUCGGACCCUACCUUCCCUGGCCAACGCCAGCUGCCCCCAGCCGCGCAGAGCAGAGAAGACCCCCGUUGCCCUAGCCGCUACCUGGUUGUGCCCGCUCCCAGGCCAAGCCUUUUUUUUCGACCACUCUUGCCGCCUGUGACACUUCAGUGAAGGAGAAUGAUACACCCUCGACCUUCCAAGUACCCGUGCUCACGUUGGUGACAGCCUAGUUGCUGCAGCGAACGCGUGUUGAUUGCGCCAUCCCAAGGACUUCUUGUUUCAGCGAAAAGGUUGCUCUAAUUUUGUCAUCGAAACCGUUGGCACUUCGAACCAGGAGCACGGUGUCCGAGACGUCACUGCCCAACCUACUAGUGUCGUUGGUCGACUUCCAAAUCACGAAAUCGUUGGUAGAAAGAUUAAACUUCAAUUUCUAUAGUAAUUGCAUAAUUAUAUGAACUUAUUGGGUCUUUUGUGCAAUUGUGUGCCACUUGCUGCUUCAGCCCACGUUAAUUACUUGCGUUUGACUCUUGGCUUGUUGUCCAAACUCUGAAAAACAUUCAAAGCUCAAUCGGGGCUUCCGUGCGUUAAUUGCCAAAAUUGGUCAUUCAUACAUGAUUUCAGUUUGAAAUUCACGUAAACAUCGUCGUGGCUAUUUUUUGUCGUUACCAAGCCUCCUUGGUUAGUUAUCUCUCGCUGUCUUGAGUAUUCAGAAACAGUGGGAGAGCAGUGGUGGGUUUUGUCGAAGUCGGCACUUCCGAAGUGGAUGGAUUAUGGAGACAAAUGGAAUCCUUCAGGGUACUUCAUGAGUUGCGGAAGUAUUUUAGUGAAUUCUCUGAAUUCCGACAUAUUCCAGAAAUUGGUAAAUAGACCAAAUCGUCCGUUCACUUUGUUUAGUGGUUAUGGUGACUUUUUGCCGUUUUCAUUUUGACUAUGGAUUGUGAGGCUGACUGUGACUCUGUGAAAUCUUUCUUAGAUUCAGGCAACAUUUAGGAGCACCAGUCAAGCUUGGGUUUGGUUUUGAGGUAAAUGCUUCAAUCCAAAAAUCAAUAGAGUGAUGCCUCCUAGAUUACCUUUCCUUAUCACUCCAUUCUUCUUUAUGGUUUGAGUAUACCUGUUGCACCAUUUUGACUUGUCAUCGCUAGUUUCUCUACUUCAGUUAUUGCAUUUUUGGUUCAAACUUGAAUUGUAGAGCAGUCGUUAUAUCGUUGCAUGAUUAUAACAGUUAUUUGACCUAGUUGGUCGGUUUUACACAUGUUACCCUUGCAACAUAGUUUUAACCUUGUUGGCCAGUGGAUUACCUCAGUUGUUAUAUCGUUGCAUAAUUAUAAAACAAUUAUUCGAUCUAAUCAGUAGGUUUUACACAUAUUAUACUUUAGACAUUGUUUGACCUUGUUGGUCGAUGGAAUUGGUUAUCUAUCUCAGCUAUUUGUCAUCGGUUUGACUACUAAGCAAACAAUAUCAGUCGCCACAACUUAUUAAGCAUUUCACGUACACCAGUGGUUUGGCCCCCGCAACGGUUUUUCUUUCGAAAGGGGUCGUGUUCCAACCCUUGAGCUUUAUGUGGUAUCUUUGUAGUGGGAUUAUAUGCCCAAUGAUUGAGCACACAGGUGUGGUAUUGCCUGAGGUCUUUAAAUUAAGACGGCAGUAUUAGGAUUAGGUUUAGAUAUUGGAAUAAAAACUCGAAGAAAAAAAAAGACAAGUUCAUACAGUUGAUGCAUAAAUAUAUUUAUUUUUGUUACAGUAAAAAAUAUUAUCUCUGUUAUCUAGUCGCCGGUUUCUUUUCCUGAUUUACUUUUGCUACUAUAUCAGCUAUACUUUUUUGUACAAAUCAUAUCACCAUUCUUUUGUUGACCAAUGAGAACAGCUUGCCUUCAACGGCUUGCAAUACCCACUGAAAAACAAGAGUACAUAUUUCUCACCUCUUAUUUUCCACACGUGACACUGGAGGUAAAGUUUGGGACGGUGCAUAAGGGCACUAUUAGAUGGAUGAGUCCCCCUAGCAAUAGCUUUGAGGUUUUCCCUUUCGUUUUAGACUCCUCCUGUUAUUUAGUUAUCACUCAUGUUAGUACUUGACUUGUGGUGCGGUGUCUCUAGUAUUUCCAUAUAGCUUCUUUCGGUUUCAGUUUUCAGCAUUAGUAUCUCUUUACAGUAUUUGUUUUUCAUUCACUUGUCAAUUGAUUAUCUAUCUAUUAUGUCGUUAUCUCCCUGUUGUCGUCGUUGUUGUUGCUGUUGUGGUUGAUGGUAUGGUUGUGGUUGAUAGUAUAAUCGAAUAUUGUACUCUAUGUCCCUACACCGUGCACGUAGGGAAAAGACUCCGUCCGUUUGGACAGGGGAGACUCUGUCUAUGUGGCAUAUCUGUGCACGUUCGAAGCAAACUUUUGGUUUCAAAAAAUAUAUAUAUUACGUUUUUCGCAGUUUUCCUCACAAAAGGUUUCACGAAAGAGCACCAGGGUGCAACAACUAUACAAUUGACCAUUGACUCCUAAGGCAUGUUUGGCCCCAUUUAUAGCCAUAUUUUUCCACUAACCGGGCCAAAUUAGGUUUUGCAAUCUUUUAUCAUGCACUUUAGGGGGCAUGAACCACAUGCACAUUGAACUCCAACUGCAAUUGGCAGCAGCGCUCGUUCCCACAGUAGGGCCAAACAGACUCUCACUCUUCAUUUAUCUCAAAAGCCAAAAAUUCUUAUGAACUAACACAGCAUCCAAGCUAAUAAUUGUUGCUAGAAUACAAUGCAAAGAAGCGGACCAAACUGCCAAAGCCGAUAAUAAAAGCCCCUCAAGCUACAACUUUUCAGCUGUAGUGAUAGCAGCACAGAGAAAUUACCAUUUUACACAGGCUGAUCCUGUCACAAAGGUUCAUCAAAAAUUAUCCAAUGUUAUUGAUUUGUCCGUAAUUACUGCUCCCUAUAGCAGCAGAAACACUACUACGAUUCAUCUCUGAAAGGACUAGCAGAUUGCACUACUAAAUAAUCAUCGAAUAGUAAUUGCAAGUCGGAACUUAUAUUAGACUACCAUAGAUGCUCUGAAUUUGUCCGAUGAGAUUCCAAAAGCAGUAAUAUAUAUAAUGCUAUCUAAGUAGCGGGGAAAUGAAGAAGCACCUGAGCCGAGAUCUCUUCGGCGGCGAACUGUUUUCCGAUAGCGGGGCACUCGAGCUUCACAUUCCCAUUCUCAUCCUUGACAACCUUGUAGGACACCUGCUUCGCCUCCUCGUCGACCUCCGACAUCUUCCGCCCGAUGAACCGCUUCACGGAGAAGAAGGUGUUCUCCGGGUUCACCACCGCCUGCCGCUUCGCGAUCUGCCCCACGAGGCGGUCGCCGUUCUUCGUGUACGCCACCACCGACGGCGUCGUCCGCUGCCCCUCGGCGUUCGUCACGAUCGUCGGCUUCCCCCCCUCCAUCGCCGCCACCGCCGAGUUGGUGGUGCCGAGGUCGAUCCCCACCACCUUCUCGCACACCACCCGGAGCGGCCCCCGGCCCCGCCCCGCCGCCGACCGAAGGCGGAGCGAGGCCCCAUCGGGAGCGCCGGAGCGGCGGCGGCGGCUACCGAAGAAGAGCGAGCUCGAGGAGGAGAUGCGGGAGUGGCGGGAGGGGUUCUUCGAGGAGUGCAACGCGGCGGCGCCGGCGACGGAGGAGCCGAGGAACGCCGUGGAUGUCGCCAUAGAUGGCGCAAUUUGGGGAGAGAGAGAGUAAACCCUAACCCCAACCCUAACCCUAAUCCCGAGGAUAAGGGGAAAAUGGGAGAGCGUAGAGAGCGCGAGAGGAGGCUACCGAGGAAGAAGAGUUGCGCGGAGUGAAGUGAUAAGGGGGAAAAGGGUUUUAUCGUGCGGGGAAAGGGGGAGCGGGAAAAAAGCGCGUGCACCGGGUGUAUACUUCCACAUCUCAUUCGCGGUCCUCUGAUUUAGAAUCCAAUACACUAAUAAGGACAUGUUUGGUUCACCUAUUUUAAGCUAUGGAAUCGAAAUUGAAUUCAUUAAUUCUGAUAGUUGUCGUUUGUUUUACAGGAAUCGAAUUUCGAUUCUCAUUCCACUCCGGAAUGGGAAUGGCCAAAUUCAUUUAUGAUCCAAUCCGGUUAUGAAUUCCGAAUUGGCUCAUUUCAAAGUAAACUAUUCAAAAGCCUCUUUUAUCAACACCUACCUUCUCUCCCUUCAUCACUUUUCUCUCUCUUAAUCAGAACUCUCUCUCAAAAAUUUUAAAUUUUCUUUCCGAUUUCCAUUCCAAUAAUGAACCAAACAUUUUUUGAUGAUUCGUCAUUCCAUUUUUCAUUCCAAUGCAAUUUAAUUCUAUUUCUCAUUCUUAUUUCAAUCAUAAACCAAACAUACCCAAAAAUAAAAACAACAUAAUCUUUGAAGGUAAAAAUAAAUAAAACUAUCACCCAUUUAAUUUGACUUACUUUUAACUUUUUAGUUUCACUAUUCAUUCUUUUAAUUUUUUUUAAUAUCAACCAAUUAACGGUUCUUUAAUUUUAAAUUUUGAAUACAUCGUUUGUCUUUAUGAAUAUUAUUCGUAUAUUUUUGAUAAUUUAUGUAAUUAUAAAUUUAUUAAAGUAAGCAAUUAACUUUAAUUUUAUAUCAAAUAACUUAAAUAAAAUAAAUUUAAAGAUUGGAUACUAAAAUUA